CCUACGGGAGACAGCAGUGAGGAAUAUUGGUCAAUGGGCGCAAGCCUGAACCAGCCAAGUCGCGUGAAGGAUGACUGCUCUACGGUUUGUAAACUUCUUUUAUAAAGGAAUAAAGUUAUGCACGUGUGCCUUUUUGUAUGUACUUUAUGAAUAAGGAUCGGCUAACUCCGUGCCAGCAGCCGCGGUAAUACGGAGGAUCCGAGCGUUAUCCGGAUUUAUUGGGUUUAAAGGGAGCGUAGAUGGGUUGUUAAGUCAGUUGUGAAAGUUUGCGGCUCAACCGUAAAAUUGCAAUUGAUACUGGCAGUCUUGAGUACAGUAGAGGUAGGCGGAAUUCGUGGUGUAGCGGUGAAAUGCGUAGAUAUCACGAAGAACGCCGAUUGCGAAGGCAGCUUACUGGACUGCAACUGACACUGAGGCUCGAAAGUGUGGGUAUCAAACAGGAUUAGAUACCCCAGUAGUC
rnacentral:rRNA from 1 species